rnacentral:rRNA from 1 species
GAUGAACGCUGGCGGCGUGCCUAAUACAUGCAAGUCGAGCGAACAGACGAGGAGCUUGCUCCUCUGACGUUAGCGGCGGACGGGUGAGUAACACGUGGAUAACCUACCUAUAAGACUGGGAUAACUUCGGGAAACCGGAGCUAAUACCGGAUAAUAUAUUGAACCGCAUGGUUCAAUAGUGAAAGACGGUUUUGCUGUCACUUAUAGAUGGAUCCGCGCCGCAUUAACUAGUUGGUAAGGUAACGGCUUACCAAGGCAACGAUGCGUAGCCGACCUGAGAGGGUGAUCGGCCACACUGGAACUGAGACACGGUCCAGACUCCUACGGGAGGCAGCAGUAGGGAAUCUUCCGCAAUGGGCGAAAGCCUGACGGAGCAACGCCGCGUGAGUGAUGAAGGUCUUCGGAUCGCAAAACUCUGUUAUUAGGGAAGAACAAAUGUGUAAGUAACUAUGCACGUCUUGACGGUACCUAAUCAGAAAGCCACGGCUAACUACGUG